rnacentral:sRNA from 1 species
ACUAAGACAUGGACCCUGAAGAAGCACUUUGUUGGCUAUCCUACUAAUAGUGACUUUGAGUUGAAGACAGCUGAGCUCCCACCCUUAAAAAAUGGAGACUGGCAGCCAAAAGAUUGAAGGAAGGUGAUACAAUGAUGGGGCAGCAAGUGGCCAAGUAAUUAUUUCCAUUUGUCCCAAUGCUUGGAAAAUAUGUCUCCUCUUUACCUCCUGCUGGGUCCUGUCUCUGUCCAUUGCUCCUACAAUUUCUUCAGCCUAUGUUGUUCACUCACUGUGUGAUCUUGGAAUCAACUUGGGAAAUUCUGUCUCCUUCCUGACUAGCUGGAAAGGAGGGAAGGAUGUGAAAUUGUCAUUUUUUCAGCUUCACUUUGCCAUCCUUACUUUUAAUUACU